GAUCUUACCAUGCUGAAUAUACCGGUUCUCGUUAGAUCACCGAAGUCAAGCAUCAUUGGGCGCUGUCACUACUUGGGUGGGUGACCAUCUGGAAACACCGCGGGCCGUU
rnacentral:rRNA from 1 species